UGUCCUAAAGAAUGUGGAAUAUACAGGAUGA
rnacentral:piRNA from 1 species